AAAAUAAUGUCAAACCCUAUAGCCCAGCAAUAGGAACCCAUAAAUUUGCACAUGAAAAAUGCCAACAGAGGAAAAAACUUACCCAUACAUAGCCCAGCAAUUGAAACCCAUAAAUUAGCAACUAAUCAAAUCUAGUAGAGAAAAAAAAAUACCUCUACCACUAAUAUUGAGCUCCACAAUCAGAGAAACCGAAUUGCAAGGAACCCCAAACAACGUACAGUAACCCAACUGUUUGAAUUUGCAAUGACUGGUACUCCAAAAUUGUUUGGAAACAACACACAAAGUAAGAUUAAUAAAUAAAAGUUGCCCCCCCAGGGCACAUCCCAACUGGCAAGGAUGAGGGCACUUCAAGACUGACAGAUCAGAGGUCGUGAGUUUGAUUCCUGGAAAGCUCUUGGAAGAUAGAUAUUCUCCUUGAAAGCAGGAUUUAUCCUGGAAGGUAAGGUGCAAAGAUGAGAAACGACUUGCUUGACACUUUGACAGAUCAGUUGGGAAGGGAGCACUGGUCACUUUGGGGCACAACCUGCGAUUUAACCUGUUUGCAGCUUGAGGGGUCAAAAUGUAGAUUCCAGGAUUUAGUCACUGUAAGGUGGAUACCUAGAUAUAAAAAAAAAUAAAAAUAAAAGUCUUGUGCAGACGAAAUCAAAUGGCUUACCGAAGAUCGUCCGUUUUCCUUCAAACAUGAAGAAUAGAAGGGUACUGACGUUUGUGUUGUUCUAAGAUUCGUCACAAUGAAAACAUAUAUGUCUCAAUUCCUUCUGAUUUUUUCAAGAUCUAGACAGAAGAAGAGAAAUUAUCGGAUUUGCCAGGAAUUUGUUUGCCUCUUUUCUACUAUAUCAAUGGCCUCGUGUGCCGCAUCCAUUUGCCAGGAGAUAAAAGAGAGAUGUUUGAUACAUAGAAGAAAUAUUUGUAUACAUAUGGGAAGACUUGGGUUUGAGAAUAAGUGAAAUGGAUAUUUAAUGAUAAAAUAGGAAACACACAAAUGCUUCCUAAAUGAACAGUGCAGGCAAGAUUUACUCUUUUAAGAUAUAAUAUAUAUACUAGUUGUUUGAAACAACACAAAAUUACGGCAUCAAAAAUUUGCACACUCCAGCUUCAUUUUGCUAUGUAACAUACCAUAUUAAGUAUAUUUACAUAUUAAAAGAAGUAUGUUAUUAG
rnacentral:lncRNA from 1 species